UACGGAGGGUGCGAGCGUUGUCCGGAAUCACUGGGCGUAAAGCGCGUGUAGGCGGGUCCGCAAGUCUGCUGUGAAAACUCCUGGCUUAACCGGGAGAGGUCGGUGGAAACUGCGAACCUGGAGGACGGUAGAGGCUGGUGGAAUUCCCGGUGUAGUGGUGAAAUGCGUAGAGAUCAGGAGGAACACCGGUGGCGAAGGCGGCCUACUGGGCCAGCACUGACGCUGAGGCGCGAAAGCUCGGGGAGCGAACGGG
rnacentral:rRNA from 1 species